rnacentral:rRNA from 1 species
AACGAACGCUGGCGGCAGGCUUAACACAUGCAAGUCGAGCGCCCCGCAAGGGGCGCGGCCGACGGGUGAGUAACGCGUGGGAACGUACCUUUUGGUUCGGAACAACUCCGGGAAACUGGAGCUAAUACCGGAUAAGCCCUAACGGGGAAAGAUUUAUCGCCGAAAGAUCGGCCCGCGCCUGAUUAGCUAGUUGGUGAGGUAACGGCUCACCAAGGCGACGAUCAGUAGCUGGUCUGAGAGGAUGAUCAGCCACACUGGGACUGAGACACGGCCCAGACUCCUACGGGAGGCAGCAGUGGGGAAUAUUGGACAAUGGGCGCAAGCCUGAUCCAGCCAUGCCGCGUGAGUGAUGAAGGCCUUAGGGUUGUAAAGCUCUUUUGUCCGGGAAGAUAAUGACUGUACCGGAAGAAUAAGCCCCGGCUAACUUCGUG